CAGCCCUGUAGGAGACACCUCCAGAGAAAGUAACAGCUCUCAAUUGAUUAGCUGAGGAGACCGAUUUUGUAAAUCACUACUUUUCUAACAACACUGGCACAGAUGGCCAAGCAUUCUCCCUUUUCUCAGAGCUGGUUUUCCAUCCCGGAAAGAGCCAGAAUUAGCUUCUGUUACUUACAACUGUGAGUCCUGACUGAAAACAUAUUUCUUCCUUUGAAGAAUUGUUACCUGUAACAGGCUAAGAAGAAUAUUAAGCUCGCAUUGGCGGGAAGUUCUGGCACAAAUGAAGUAUCUAUAAGGAGCAGCAGAGUCAAGGUGGUGAUCCUGUGGAUGAAUAACUGAAACCUGAUAUACUUGACAGCAGAAAAUAUAAAGCAAAUUGAAAAGGAGAGAGUGUGGAGAUAAAUAAGAAAAUGAAAGAACUGAUAAAGUCACUUGGAUUAAAAAACCUGGGAGUAAGGGCUUUGUUUAUGAUUGAACUUAAGAGAGAAUUGAGGGACCACCUACCUUUGAUGUUAACGAGAAAGUAAAGAGGAAACAUAUUUAGAGAUACCCUUUGGUGAAAAACAGAGAUGGAUGUGUCAUUUGAUGCAUCACAUUAUUUAUUCAACAAACUCUUAGUGAGAACUU
rnacentral:lncRNA from 1 species